rnacentral:misc_RNA from 1 species
UUUCUAGCCAGCAUGCUAUCAUUAAGCCGGGUAUCAGUUCUACCAACGGUAUAUAAGCACCAAAAGUCCGUGCAAAUUUCUCUUUCUCGAUUCAACACCGAAGAUAAACUACGCUGCUAAAAGCUCAAUUUCCCAUCCCACCCACCCAAAAUUGUUUAGAAAUCGUUGUUUGCUUACGAUUUUUCAUGUAGACAUCGUAUUAAUACAUAAAUUAUAUAAUGAUUCUUUCUUUGCUCUGCUCUGCUGUGUUUUAAUGUAUUUUUCAGAGUCUUCUUGCUAAUAUGUGGGAAUGGCAACAUCGUUUACCAGACAAGGGGUAUCAAGCGAACGAUCUGUCACUCAUGAAGUUGUAGACAUUCAGACAUUCUCAUCACUGUCAGAAACUAAGUGAUAAGUCUUGCAAGAGAGGAUGUUCAGUUGAAGAGUAGUGUGCCCCAUGUAGUUGUUGGUAACCAGAUCAUUACAAAUUUAGAUAUUCCCCAGUGUUCAGUUGUCUAUAGUUUUGUGCCAUUCCAAAGGGAAAGGUGACAAAAAGUCACCUGCUCAGCCUAAUAAAGUGGAGCAUAAUCAUGUUUAGAGCAUUCCCUACAUCAGCUGUUACGAGAAGUACAUCACAAAACGUUACAUCUUGACUCUCCACAUUCUGUUACAGCAACCUUUGGUAUGAGCAAGAGACAUCGAUUGGCUGGUCCAUCUAGAAUGUCUCGAUCAGAUCUUAAAGAAAUGGCAGAAAAAACAAUGACCACUAUAGACAGACUGGCAACAAAUAUAGCAGAUUCACAGAUAAAGGCCCACUGGAGUUGUCUUAACAGUCCACUGCAGUCAAAUGUGAAAAUUAUCAUCACAUCAAAUGGGUUAACAUGGCAGUCCUUUGACCUGGAGAUAGGUACAGACAGUAUCAAGGUAGUAACCAAGGAUAGAAGGACAUUGUCUCUAACAGGUAGAGGAUCUCAUCAGGUUGCAGGUUUCACAACAUCACAUUAUCACAGAAACUAGCGAGACUGAUGGGCUGGCAGAUACUCAGCUAUAAUGGUUGUAGUGGUGUUGGGGUAAUGGAAGAUUUUGCAACAGCUUCUUCUAUACAGCUAGUCGCCCCAAACAAUGACAGAAUGUUGUCUGUAAGAAGUGGACCAACAACAGGACUUCAUGUGUAUCUAAAAAUAGAUGAUAAGGAUAGCAUUGAUCCUAGUAUGGCAGCAUUAGUGGACCCUAAAUGGCUGAAUCUCAGUGGAACUUUCAACAAAAUAGAUAUGGAACAAAUUGAUGAAAGAAAUUUAGCAACAAAACUGGAACUUAUUUUGGCUAAGGUGAAUAAAAAGAGAUGACCAGCUGUAGUUACUGAUGUUCAAUUUGGUGCAAUUAAGUGAAGUGCUUUAAGAAGAUAAUUUUUGUCAUAAAGUAGUGGGUAUAAUUUGCACACCAAAAAUAAUGUGUCAAGUGCAGCCUUUCAGCUUAUGAAGAGAAAGAUUUACAGCAGUAUUCAGCAUUUCCAAUUUUGUAAGGAAAUAAACCUGCAAAGCUGUUAUAAGCAGUCUAGAUAUGUUCUGUGUGCAAGAAAUGGCAUUCUGGCUAGCGCAAUAGACAUUUAUAAUUUUGAAUGAGAAUUGUUCUUUCUGUAACUGUUUAAUCCAUACACUUUUUGCCUCUGUGCUUUGCUUUACUCCAGUAGUUCAUGUGAAAUUAACAAGAGAGAACAAAUGCAUAUAAGAAAUC